CAGCCGCCGCGGUAAGACAGAGGAUGCAAGCGUUAUCCGGAAUGAUUGUGCGUAAAGCGUCUGUAGGUGGCUUUUCAAGUCCGCCGUCAAAUCCCAGGGCUCAACCCUGGACAGGCGGUGGAAAAUACCAAGCUGGAGUACGGUAGGGGCAGAGGGAAUUUCCGGUGGAGCGGUGAAAUGCGUUGAGAUCGGAAGGAACACCAACGGUGAAAGCACUCUGCUGGGCCGACACUGACACUGAGAGACGAAAGUUAGGGGAGAAAAUGGGAUUAGAGACCCCGGUAGUCCCUGUCUCUUAUAC
rnacentral:rRNA from 1 species